rnacentral:ncRNA from 1 species
UGCGGUUACAAAAUCCGAAGGAUUUUGAACGUUGGUUUACCAACAGCCUGAAGGGCGAACAGUCAAACUUGUUUGAUUGUGAGUAAUUUU